GUACAGAUGAAGUGUCCCAGACUAGGACAAAACAGCUUUCCAGUAC
rfam:Trichobilharzia regenti genome assembly, scaffold: TRE_scaffold0042993